CGAAGAAGAAAUUUCACGCCAUAUUUUAAUUUGACAGGUAUUUUGGCAUUAGUUGGACUUUAGUGCACGCAAAUUUACGAAUCCUAAAAUGGCCAAGACUUAUAUUUGUUAAUUUACAUAACUUCCGAUAUCGAAUUGUUGCUGAGACGUAGCCUACACCGUAUUUGAUAAACAACUUUGCUAGCAGAGAAUGCUAAACAGCCACAACUGCUUCGCUCGACUGUCGCCAUCAAGGACGGAUGGCCAUGACCACGUCAGCCUUCAAAACCGAUGAAAAACACCCAGCAUACAACGUUAUAAAGGACCUCAUUGUGAAGGAGGAUUUGAAAAGAAUGAACUUCAUGUAGACACUCCGUCAAGAAGACCUUCAAAUAAUGAAAACAUCUACGAUGCCAUAAUGGACAUUUCCACAAAAAAGGGAUUACUGCAUGAUGGACGUCGCUCUCAAUUAGACCUCCAAACA